GGGGGGAGCUCUGGUACUUGGGUUGUGUCCCCCAGUGCCUUUGGCUCUGGGCCCUGCACCGCUGGAAUCGUGCUCCCAGAGCUGUGUAGCCUCCU
rnacentral:pre_miRNA from 1 species